rnacentral:misc_RNA from 1 species
CCUAGGAGUUGUAGGCUUUGCCUGCUAUCUCUUACCCAUGUCUUUUGAGUACCUUCGUUUCCUCGGCGGGUCCGCCCGCCGAUUGGACAAUUUAAACCAUUUGCAGUUGCAAUCAGCGUCUGAAAAACUUAAUAGUUA